rnacentral:rRNA from 1 species
UACGGGGGGGGCAAGCGUUGUCCGGAAUUAUUGGGCGUAAAGAGCUCGUAGGCGGUUUGUCGCGUCUGCUGUGAAAACCUGAGGCUCAACCUCGGGCUUGCAGUGGGUACGGGCAGACUAGAGUGCGGUAGGGGUGACUGGAAUUCCUGGUGUAGCGGUGGAAUGCGCAGAUAUCAGGAGGAACACCGAUGGCGAAGGCAGGUCACUGGGCCGCAACUGACGCUGAGGAGCGAAAGCAUGGGGAGCGAACAGG